ACUCAAAUGAAUUGACGGGGACCCGCACAAGCGGUGGAGCAUGUGGAUUAAUUCGAUACUAACCGAAGAACCUUACCCAGGUUUGACAUCGAUCGUAAGCUCUAGAGAUAGGGCCCUCUUCCACAAGAAGACGUGAAGACACUUGUUGCAUGGCUGUCGUCAGCUCGUGCCGUGAGGUGUACGGUUAAGUCCGCCAACGAGCGCAACCCUCGUCCUGUGUUACCAGCGAUUAAAGUCGGGAACUCACAGGAGACCGCCGGUGUAAGCCGGAGGAAGGUGAGGAUGACGUCAAGUCAGCAUGGCAGUUACGCCUGGGGCUUCACACAUGCUACAAUGGAUGAAACAAAGGGCAGCGAUACCGCGAGGUGGAGCCAAUCCCAAAAAUACAUCCCCAGUUCAGAUUGUAGUCUGCAACUCGACUACAUGAAGGCGGAAUCGCUAGUAAACGCAGGUCAGCUAUACUGCGUUGAAUACGUUCCCGGGUCUUGCACACACCGCCCGU
rnacentral:rRNA from 1 species